AUUGAACGCUGGCGGCAUGCUUUACACAUGCAAGUCGAACGGUAACAGGGAGCUUGCUCCGCUGACGAGUGGCGAACGGGUGAGUAAUGCGUCGGAACGUGCCGAGUAGUGGGGGAUAACGAAUCGAAAGGUGUACUAAUACCGCAUACGAACUGAGGUUGAAAGUGGGGGACCUUCGGGCCUCAGGCUAUUCGAUCGGCCGACGUCUGAUUAGCUCGUUGGUGAGGUAAAGGCUCACCAAGGCGACGAUCCGUAGCGGGUCUGAGAGGAUGAUCCGCCACACUGGGACUGAGACACGGCCCAGACUCCUACGGGAGGCAGCAGUGGGGAAUUUUGGACAAUGGGCGCAAGCCUGAUCCAGCCAUGCCGCGUGUCUGAAGAAGGCCUUCGGGUUGUAAAGGACUUUUGUCCGGGAGCAAACGCUGGUGGCUAACAUCCACCGGAGCUGAGAGUACCGGAAGAAUAAGCACCGGCUAACUACGUGCCAGCCGCCGCGGUAAGAC
rnacentral:rRNA from 1 species